GCCUGGGUGGCUCAGUCGGUUGAGCGCCCGACUUCGGCUCAGGUCAUGAUCUCACGGUUCGUGGGUUCGAACCCCGCGUCGGGCU
rfam:Felis catus isolate Cinnamon breed Abyssinian chromosome B3, whole genome shotgun sequence.